GCCUUCGUGGUGAAGUGGUCAGCACAGUGGGCGCGUAUUCCAGAGGUCCGUGGUUCGAGUCCCCGCGAAGGCG
rnacentral:tRNA from 1 species